rnacentral:sRNA from 1 species
AGAUGUAAACAAGCCUGCAAGUUCUCAGAGCCAUGUUAGCCCCUCCCUCUGUUUAAGCCUUGGCACCGCUGUGGAAGAAUUCUUAGAAGGCAGAAAAAUGUAGUGUCAAAGCCACAGCCUCUCCAGUCAGAGGAGCCGCGUGGAUCACUUGCCAUUCCCAGACAUCCCAUUUAAUGAGUCUUCUCCAAAAGCUCCUCUACAGAGAACCUAUAUUCCUGGAAGACGGCAAUGUUCUCACUUUAGCGUGAUUCAAGAAUUAACCAGCAAUCACAUAAAACUGACUGUGGACAGGCUCUGUCCCCAAGGAUCUGGACAUGGAAACCUCAAGGAACUUGUAUUUUCCCUAGAAAAUAGACAUCCCUCACUGUGUCGGCCUACAAUCUGAGUGUGGGACUCACUGCAGUAAGACCAGACCAUGACGACUGCCUCUUAACCUGUGUGUCUUGUCUUUCAUAUCCCAACAUAUGUGUAUAUUCGGUUGCCCAACUGUGUGAGUUUUCACAGCAUGUCAGAGUGAAUACUACUAAAUGCUAAUAUAUUUCAUUUUGCUUU